rnacentral:lncRNA from 1 species
GAAGCCCUCGGGCCCUUGGGGAGGGACGGGCACUGUUCCCCAGAGCAGUGCAAUCAAUGCUGGGAAACUGAAGCUGCGAGUGUCCGAGGGACCCUGGGAUGUCUCUGGGGUCUGCGUAGGUACCCAUGGAGGAGCAGAGAUGGUGGAUGAAGGAGGCCGUGGAGGAGAAAAGAACACAGGAAUUUACCAGAAAUUGGCAGGCUGUGGAAUUGAUGGAGUCCACUUACUGUCCAGGCCUAAGGGGUCCAAUAAUCCCAUCCUUUGCCGAAAGCUUUACUGUGGGACUGGCGUCAUUUCAAGCAUUUAAUCCUCGUCCCAACUCUACGAGGAAGGGUCUCGCUUUGUCACCCAGGCUGGAGUGCAAUGGUGCAAUCACAGCAUACUGCAGCCUCAACCUCCCAGGCUCAAGCAAUCCUCCCACCUCAGCUUC